AGCAGUGGGGAAUUUUGGACAAUGGGCGCAAGCCUGAUCCAGCAAUGCCGCGUGAGUGAAGAAGGCCUUCGGGUUGUAAAGCUCUUUUGUCAGGGAAGAAACGGUGAGGGCUAAUAUCUCUUGCUAAUGACGGUACCUGAAGAAUAAGCACCGGCUAACUACGUGCCAGCAGCCGCGGUAAUACGUAGGGUGCAAGCGUUAAUCGGAAUUACUGGGCGUAAAGCGUGCGCAGGCGGUUUUGUAAGUUUGUCGUGAAAGCCCCGGGCUCAACCUGGGAAUUGCGAUGAAGACUGCAAGGCUUGAAUCUGGCAGAGGGGGGUAGAAUUCCACGUGUAGCAGUGAAAUGCGUAGAGAUGUGGAGGAACACCGAUGGCGAACGCAGCCCCCUGGGUCAAGAUUGACGCUCAUG
rnacentral:rRNA from 1 species